CGGCGAGUGAAGCGGCAGCAGCUCAGAUUUGAAAUCGGGCGCCCCCCCCGGGGGCGGCCGAGUUGUAGUCUGCAGAGGACGCCCUGGGCGCGGCGGCCGUCCGAGUUCCCUGGAACGGGACGCCGCAGAGGGUGAGAGCCCCGUCCGGUCGGACGCCAUGCGCCCGCGUAGGGCUCCUUCGACGAGUCGAGUAGUUUGGGAAUGCUGCUCAAAGCGGGAGGUAAAUGUCUUCCAAAGCUAAAUACCGGCCAGAGACCGAUAGCGCACAAGUAGAGUGAUCGAAAGAUGAAAAGCACUUUGGAAAGAGGGUUAAAGAGCACGUGAAAUUGCUGAAAGGGAAGCGCCCGCGACCAGACUUGGGCCCGGCAGGCCACCCGUCGUUCUCGGCGGGGCACCCUGCCGGGCGCAGGCCAGCAUCGGCCCGGCGCGGGGGAGAAAGGCGGCGGGAACGUGGCUCCCCCAGGGGAGAGCUUACAGCCCGCCGCGCCACGCCCCGCGCGGGGCCGAGGCACGCGCACCCGCAAGGAUGCUGGCGUAAUGGUCGCCGGCGACCCGUCUUGAAACACGGACCAAGGAGUCGUCCUCGUAUGCGAGUGUCGGGGUGCCAAACCCCUGCGCGCAGUGAAAGCGAACGCGGGUGAGAGCCGUCCGCGGCGCAUCAUCGACCGAUCCUGAUGUUCUCGGAUGGAUUUGAGUAGGAGCGUACGGGGCCGGACCCGAAAGAAGGUGAACUAUGCCUGCGUAGGGUGAAGCCAUGGGAAACCAUGGUGGAGGCUCGCAGCGGUUCUGACGUGCGAAUCGAUCGUCAAACG
rnacentral:rRNA from 1 species